rnacentral:lncRNA from 1 species
UAUGGAUAUAAGAUGUUGAAUAUGGAAUUGUUAUGAGAAUCUGGAACUUGGAACUUUAAACUGGAAAUAAAAGCUUCGGAUCAUCACUACUUACAUGUGUAAUGCCAUCGGGGUGGAGGAACUUUCCCAGGUAGUGAAUGGCCGUGGAAGAAAGAAGAUACAGAAUCAAGCCCUAAACCACCCAGAAAUUUACAGAAUAGAGGAGAAAAAGCUAGUGAAGGAGGCUGAAAAGAGAAAAACCAAUGAGAUAGAAGGAAAACAAGUGUGGCAGCCUAGAGGCCAGCUGAAUGUUUUGGGCAUAGGACACAGAUUAUGGUGUGGAGUGAUCCAGAUGGCUGAUUAUCAGUGUGAGAGGAAGCUUGGACCCAAGAAUAAUCAGCACAGUUGCACAAAUGGAGAAACAUCAAAGUGAGAACAGGAAGCACUCCAAAAAGCUGGCUUUGUGUAUUUUCCUCCGGCUCGCUACAUACUUCAUAUAUACCUCCAUAAUGAUGAGAAACUUCUAUCAGGAUUGAAGGAAUAAGAAAGAGUAAGAGAGAUUUUUAAUGUUGUAAUGUGAUAACAUUUUUCAUAAACUAU